UAGUCAUAUUGUGUCUUAUGGUUUUUUGGUCCUUCCGUCUUAAAAAGAAUGAUUUCAAGAAUGAAGUUUCACAUGCCGAUUUGAAUAGUUUAAUUUUUGUUGGAAUAAUUAGUUCCCUUCCUUCUCAUCUUUUUCUGAACCCACUGGAAAAAAAAAAAGACAAAGGAGAGAGGCAGAGAGACACCAAAAUAACAUCUUUCCUAUUGAUAAAGCUGACGUUGGAGAAAGUGGAAUAUAUCUGUGGCCAAAUGGACUUCCUAAUCCUGAGUCCACGUGCUGGCUGCACCAGCCGAUCUGGUCAGAGGCAGAAGCAGACCACUGCUGGCCUCCACACACGGGAAGCGUGGAGAGGUUUACUGCUGUGCUUGCCAGGGGUUUGACAGCCAUCUAGAGCAUGUUUUCUCUGCUAUUUCCUACAAGGAAGAAGAGACAGGAAGGGGCUGGGCUGUGCAUGCUUGGUUUCUUCCCACAGAUUCCUCAAUUAGGAUGUCAGCUCCACGAGGAAAGGGAUGGAUUCUGUCAUUUUCAACAGCCAUAACCCAGCACCUGGAAAAGCCUGGCACAGAAUAGUUGCUCAAGUAUUAGGGGGUCAUUUUACGUUCUUUGAACAAUGAUGACAGAUCUUCUAUCCUGUUCUUCCCUGCCCUAAUAAG